rnacentral:pre_miRNA from 1 species
AAUAAGUGUAUUUUUGUACUGUUUAUAUUAAGCGUUUGAUCGUCCUUCUUAUUUAAAAAAUAUGAUUGAUAUUUUUAUUGUUAUUAGAUAAUAAAACAUGAAUACUACUUUAUGUGCGACUAUUUUUUAUUUUCUAUUUCAUAAUUUUUUUAAAUAAGACGAACAGUCAACAUUGGACACGAAAUCCAUAGACGCAAUUAUA